rnacentral:tRNA from 1 species
AACUGCCUUCUAAGCAGUGGGUCGAUGGUUCGAAUCCAUCCGGGCGUGCCA